rnacentral:ncRNA from 1 species
UUUCGAAAAAGGCAAACCUGUCGAAAGACGGGGACGCAAAGCCACGGGUCUAAAGCAGGAGCACUGCAACGGCAGCCGGGUUACCGAA